UACGGAGAGUGCGAGCGUUGCUCGGAUUCACUGGGCGUAAAGGGUACGUAGGCGGCUUGCUAAGUCAGGUGUGGAAGCCCACGGCUUACCCGUGGAAGUGCGCUUGAUACUGGCAGGCUUGAGGCGUUGAGGGGUGGGUGGAACUCUAGGUGGAGCGGUGAAAUGCGUAGAUAUCUAGAGGAACGCCGGAGGCGAAAGCGACCCACUGGUGACGUCCUGACGCUGAGGUACGAAAGCUGGGGGAGCAAACGGG
rnacentral:rRNA from 1 species